rnacentral:rRNA from 1 species
GACGAACGCUGGCGGCGUGCUUAACACAUGCAAGUCGAACGGAAAGGCCCUGCUUUUGUGGGGUGCUCGAGUGGCGAACGGGUGAGUAACACGUGAGUAACCUGCCCUUGACUUUGGGAUAACUUCAGGAAACUGGGGCUAAUACCGGAUAGGAGCUCCUGCUGCAUGGGGGGGGUUGGAAAGAUUCGGCGGUUGGGGCUGGACUCGCGGCUUAUCAGCUUGUUGGUGGGGUAGUGGCUUACCAAGGCUUUGACGGGUAGCCCGCCUGAGAGGGUGACCGGCCACAUUGGGACUGCGAUACGGCCCAGACUCCUACGGGAGGCAGCAGUGGGGAAUAUUGCACAAUGGGCGGAAGCCUGAUGCAGCAACGCCGCGUGCGGGAUGACGGCCUUCGGGUUGUAAACCGCUUUCGCCUGUGACGAAGCGUGAGUGACGGUAAUGGGUAAAGAAGCACCGGCUAACUACGUG